GUGCUGGCUUUGUAAGCACAUAUACUAAAAUUGGAAGGAUACAGAGAAGAUUAGCAUGGCCGCUGCCCAAGGAUGACAUGCAAAUUCAUGAAGCGUUCCAUACUUUU